GAGUUUGAUCAUGGCUCAGGACGAACGCUGGCGGCGUGCUUAACACAUGCAAGUCGAACGGAAAGGCCUCAAGCUUGCUUGGGGUACUCGAGUGGCGAACGGGUGAGUAACACGUGGGUGAUCUGCCCUGCACUUCGGGAUAAGCCUGGGAAACUGGGUCUAAUACCGGAUAGGACCCCUCUUUAGUGUGGGGGGUGGAAAGUUUUUUCGGUGUGGGAUGAGCCCGCGGCCUAUCAGCUUGUUGGUGGGGUAAUGGCCUACCAAGGCGUCGACGGGUAGCCGGCCUGAGAGGGUGGACGGCCACAUUGGGACUGAGAUACGGCCCAGACUCCUACGGGAGGCAGCAGUGGGGAAUAUUGCACAAUGGGCGGAAGCCUGAUGCAGCGACGCCGCGUGGGGGAUGACGGCCUUCGGGUUGUAAACCUCUUUCGACAGGGACGAAGCUUUUGUGACGGUACCUGUAUAAGAAGCACCGGCUAACUACGUGCCAGCAGCCGCGGUAAUACGUAGGGUGCGAGCGUUGUCCGGAAUUACUGGGCGUAAAGAGCUCGUAGGUGGUUUGUCGCGUCGUCUGUGAAAUUCCGGGGCUUAACUUCGGGCGUGCAGGCGAUACGGGCAAUACUUGAGUGCUGUAGGGGAGACUGGAAUUCCUGGUGUAGCGGUGAAAUGCGCAGAUAUCAGGAGGAACACCGAUGGCGAAGGCAGGUCUCUGGGCAGUAACUGACGCUGAGGAGCGAAAGCAUGGGUAGCGAACAGGAUUAGAUACCCUGGUAGUCCAUGCCGUAAACGGUGGGCGCUAGGUGUAGGGGUCUUCCACGACUUCUGUGCCGUAGCUAACGCAUUAAGCGCCCCGCCUGGGGAGUACGGGCCGCAAGGCUAAAACUCAAAGGAAUUGACGGGGGCC
rnacentral:rRNA from 1 species